rnacentral:rRNA from 1 species
AACGAACGCUGGCGGCAUGCCUAACACAUGCAAGUCGAACGAGACCUUCGGGUCUAGUGGCGCACGGGUGCGUAACGCGUGGGAACCUGCCCUUAGGUUCGGAAUAACUCCCCGAAAGGGGUGCUAAUACCGGAUAAUGUCUUCGGACCAAAGAUUUAUCGCCUUUGGAUGGGCCCGCGUUGGAUUAGCUAGUUGGUAGGGUAAAAGCCUACCAAGGCGACGAUCCAUAGCUGGUCUGAGAGGAUGAUCAGCCACACUGGGACUGAGACACGGCCCAGAAUCCUACGGGAGGCAGCAGUGGGGAAUAUUGGACAAUGGGGUAAAGCCUGAUCCAGCAAUGCCGGGUGAGUGAUGAAGGCCUUAGGGUUGUAAAGCUCUUUUACCCGGGAUGAUAAUGACAGUACCGGGAGAAUAAGCUCCGGCUAACUCCGUG